rnacentral:rRNA from 1 species
UACGGGGGGGGGCAAGCGUUGUUCGGAAUUACUGGGCGUAAAAGGCUCGUAGGCGGCCAACUAAGUCAGACGUGAAAUCCCUCGGCUUAACCGGGGAACUGCGUCUGAUACUGGAUGGCUUGAGAUUGGGAGAGGGAUGCGGAAUUCCAGGUGUAGCGGUGAAAUGCGUAGAUAUCUGGAGGAACACCGGUGGCGAAGGCGGCAUCCUGGACCAACACUGACGCUGAGGAGCGAAAGCCAGGGGAGCAAACGGG